GUGCCAGCCGCCGCGGUAAUACGGAGGAUGCAAGCGUUAUCCGGAAUGAUUGGGCGUAAAGCGUCCGCAGGUGGCGAUGUAAGUCUGCUGUUAAAGAGUGAGGCUCAACCUCAUAAGAGCAGUGGAAACUACAUAGCUAGAGUACGUUCGGGGCAGAGGGAAUUCCUGGUGUAGCGGUGAAAUGCGUAGAGAUCAGGAAGAACACCAGUGGCGAAGGCGCUCUGCUAGGCCGUAACUGACACUGAGGGACGAAAGCUAGGGGAGCGAAUGGGAUUAGAUACCCCAGUAGUCCUAGCCGUAAACGAUGGAUACUAGGCGUGGCUUGUAUCGACCCGAGCCGUGCCGUAGCUAACGCGUUAAGUAUCCCGCCUGGGGAGUACGCCGGCAACGGUGAAACUCAAAGGAAUUGACGGGGGCCCGCACAAGCGGUGGAGUAUGUGGUUUAAUUCGAUGCAACGCGAAGAACCUUACCAAGGCUUGACAUGUCGCGAAUCUUCUUGAAAGGGAAGAGUGCCUUCGGGAGCGCGAACACAGGUGGUGCAUGGCUGUCGUCAGCUCGUGUCGUGAGAUGUUGGGUUAAGUCCCGCAACGAGCGCAACCCUCGUUUUUAGUUGCCAGCAUUAAGUUGGGCACUCUAGAGAGACUGCCGGUGACAAACCGGAGGAAGGUGGGGAUGACGUCAAGUCAGCAUGCCCCUUACGCCUUGGGCUACACACGUACUACAAUGCUCCGGACAGAGGGCAGCAAGCAUGCGAAUGCAAGCAAAUCCCGUAAACCGGAGCUCAGUUCAGAUCGCAGGCUGCAACUCGCCUGCGUGAAGGAGGAAUCGCUAGUAAUUGCAGGUCAGCAUACUGCAGUGAAUUCGUUCCCGGGCCUUGUACACACCGCCCGUCACACCAUGGAAGCUGGUAGUGCCCGAAGUCAUUACUCCAACCUUUCGGGGGGGAGGAUGCCUAAGGCAGGACUGGUGACUGGGGUGAAGUCGUAACAAGGUAACC
rnacentral:rRNA from 1 species